rnacentral:rRNA from 1 species
UGUGUAGACGGUACAUUAAGUUUGUUGUUAAACCCUCCGRCYUACCGGAGAUCAGCAAUGAGAACUGAUGCMCURGAGGAUGGAAGAGAGAAGUGGAAUUCCCGGAGUAGCGGUAAAAUGCGUAGAUCUCGGGAGGAACACCGAUGGCGAAGGCAGCUUCUUGGUCCAUUCCUGACGUUGAGACACGAAAGCGUGGGGAGCAAACAGGAUUAGAUACCCUGGUAGUCCACGCCGUAAACGCUGAUCACUGGAUGUUGGCUUAGCUCUGCUAAGUCAGUAUCGAAASUAACGCGUUAAGUGAUCCGCCUGGGGAGUACGGUCGCAAAAUUAAAACUCAAAGGAAUUGACGGGGGUCCGCACAAGCGGUGGAACAUGUGGUUUAAUUCGUCUACGCGAGGAACCUUACCUGGGCUUGACAUGUAUUUGACAGCUGUAGAAAUACAGUCUUCUAGAUUUCGGUUUAGACAGAUACACAGGUGCUGCAUGGUUGUCGUCAGCUCGUGUCGUGAGAUGUUGGGUUAAGUCCUCUAACGAGCGCAACCCUUGUCAUCAGUUGCCACUGCUUCGGGUAAAGCACUCUGAUGAGACUGCCUGGGAAACCAGGAGGAAGGUGGGGAUGACGUCAAAUCAUCAUGGUCCUUAUGUCCAGGGCUACACACGUGUUACAAUGGUCGGUACAAAGGGUUGCGAUACCGCGAGGUGGAGCUAAUCCCAUAAAGCCRAUCUAAGUUCGGAUUGAGGUCUGCAACUCGACCUAAUGAAGUUGAAAUCGCUAGUAAUCGCGUAUCAGCAACGACGCGGUGWAUACGUUCUCGGAC